rnacentral:tRNA from 1 species
UCCUAGGUAGCUCAAAUGGUAAAGAAUCUACCUGCAAUGUGGGAGACCUGGGUUCGAUCCCUAGGUUGGGAA